CACAGAAAGAAGGAGCUCGAGCAUUCAUCACCCUCUGCUUCCUGACUGCAGACACAGUAGACGGCUGCCUAAAGCUCCUGCCACCAGGACCUCCCACCAUGAUGGACUUUACCCUCCAGCCGAUGAAGAAAUCAAGGUCCAGAAAAAUUAAGAAGUAAAUCUUGAGAUCUUGUGAGUAGAGAAGGAGUCAAGGAAGAAAGUAUACACUCUGCCUUGGGACUCUGAAGUAUACAGCCUCGGGAUGACACGGAAUGGGGACCAAAAGUAAUAGUUAGCUGACCUUAGAGCUACCAGUAUGAAUAAAACAUACUGUUUCCUCAAUGUUCAAGAGAUACAUAGCACUAAUAUAAAUACAACAGAUUCACACUUAAUA